GGAGUUAGCCGGUGCUUCUUCUGUGAGUGAUGUCCUUCCUGCCGGCUAUUAACCCGCAGGCCUUCUUCCUCACUGAAAGUGCUUUACAACCCGAAGGCCUUCUUCACACACGCGGCAUGGCUGGAUCAGGGUUGCCCCCAUUGUCCAAUAUUCCCCACUGCUGCCUCCCGUAGGAGUCUGGGCCGUGUCUCAGUCCCAGUGUGGCUGAUCAUCCUCUCAGACCAGCUACGGAUCGUCGCCUUGGUGAGCCGUUACCUCACCAACCAGCUAAUCCGACAUAGGCUCAUCCGAUAGCGCGAGGCCCGAAGGUCCCCCGNUUUCCCCCGUAGGGCGUAUGCGGUAUUAGCCUGGGUUUCCCCAGGUUAUCCCCCACUACCGGGCAGAUUCCUAUGCAUUACUCACCCGUCCGCCGCUCGCCACCAGGGAGCAAGCUCCCCGUGCUGCCGCUCGACUUGCAUGUGUUAGGCCUGCCGCCACGCGUCAUCUGAGCGAGAUACAACUACUGA
rnacentral:rRNA from 1 species